CCCGCCUUCACCACCAGCGUUUUCAAAUUUGAAACCUGCUUCAUUUCCCGCUCGAACUUGUGGACCAGCAGCGGGAGAAGGCAGGGCCGCGCGCCAGCCAAUCGUGCCUCAGAGGCUCUUCGGCCCAGCCCGGAAGAUGACGACAGCAAGCCCAGGGAGAAAACCCGCUAAUGGCUGGAGACUGAGGCUCAAAGACGCCAAGGAACCGUCGGGGUCGCUAAGCGAAGCGGGAAAGAUGCAGUAACCCCCAACUUGGGCGCGGGAUCGCCAAGGGCCAGACUGGAGCCGGAGCCAGUACCUGGCCGAAGAGAGACAGAGGCCGCUCCGGGCGGAUGGGCACUCGGAGGGUGGGCUGUGGUUCCCGGCACGGUCCGGAGGGCGGGGGCAAAGGCUGGGCGUUCCGCGGGAGGGCGUUCUGGGGGCGGGGCCGGACCCCGAUUUGUUGCCCUGUGUCAGUUACAUUAUAACAAAAGUAGUACAGCCGCUGGUCUAGCCCGCACCCUAGGCCAGCCCGCUGUUAGUUGUCGCCGACAUGGAACCCGUGGCCAGCAACAUCCAGGUCCUCCUGCAAGCAGCGGAGUUCUUGGAGCGCCGAGAGAGAGAGGCAGAGCAUGGCUACGCGUCGCUGUGCCCCCACCACAGUCCAGGCCCCAUCCACAGGAGGAGGAAGCGACCCCCACAAGCUCCUGGUGCACUGGACAGUGGGCGAUCUGUGCACAAUGAGCUGGAGAAGCGCAGGAGGGCCCAGCUGAAGCGGUGCCUGGAGCAGCUGAAGCAGCAGAUGCCCCUGGGGGCUGACUGUGUCCGAUACACCACACUGAGCCUGCUUCGCCGAGCAAGGAUGCACAUCCAGAAGUUGGAGGAGCAGGAGCAGAGAGCCCGGUGGCUCAAAGAGAAGCUGCUCAGUAAACAGCAGUGCCUGCAGCGGCAGCUGGAGCAACUCCAGGGGCUGCCAAAGGCAGGGGAACGGGAGCGGCUACGGGCAGACAGCCUGGACUCCUCAGGGCUCUCCUCUGAGCGCUCAGACUCUGACCAAGAGGAGCUGGAGGUAGACGUGGAGAGCCUGGUGUUCGGGGGUGAGGCAGAGCUGCUGCGGAGCUUCAGCUCGGGCCAGGAGCACAGCUACUCACACAACCCUGGCACUUGGCUAUGAUGCUCACUGCCCCGACUGCCCUCCGAUCACACUGGGGUGAGCCUGCUGCGCAGGAGCCCUCCCCAAGCCUCGAAGGCUGCUUGGAGCCAUUUAUCUGUCAGAAUGGACUAAAGGACAUUUACAUGGGAACAGAGGGAACGGAAUCCAGUGUAUUCUACAACUGAGCUACAUCCUCAGCCUCUUUAAAAAAAUUUUUGAGACAAGAUAUUGCUAAGUUGCCCAGGCUAAACUCAAACUUUCUGCCUCAGCCUCCGAAAGUGCACCACAGGUCUCAGUAAGUUGCAAAAUUGCCCAGGCUGGGCUUGAACAUGUGAUCCUCCUCCUUUAGCCUCCCAAAGUGCUGGGAUCACAAGCAUGCACCAUCAUGCCUUGUCAGCUUCAAGCAUUUUCAAGCACAAGAGAUCAAAGCCGGGGUAGACCUCAUGAUUUGCUGCACCACUGGAGAGCGCCAUCCGCAAGCAGGUAGGC